AAAAACUGGACCCCUCUUAAUUAGAUCUCUAAUUUGUUUUCUUUCUUCUCCAAAAUUUGACAAAGAAAAGAAUUGAUCUUUUGAGAGGGUUCCAGUUUUU